rnacentral:rRNA from 1 species
CAGUAGCCACGGUAAUACGAAGGGGGCUAGCGUUGUUCGGAUUUACUGGGCGUAAAGCGCACGUAGGCGGAUCGUUAAGUCGGGGGUGAAAUCCUGGAGCUCAACUCCAGAACUGCCUUCGAUACUGGCGAUCUUGAGUCCGGAAGAGGUGAGUGGAACUCCUAGUGUAGAGGUGGAAUUCGUAGAUAUUAGGAAGAACACCAGUGGCGAAGGCGGCUCACUGGUCCGGUACUGACGCUGAGGUGCGAAAGCGUGGGGAGCAAACAGGAUUAGAUACCCCUGUAGUCCCUGUCUCUUAUAC